CAGCCGCCGCGGGAAUACGAAGGGUGCAAGCGUUACUCGGAAUUACUGGGCGUAAAGCGUGCGUAGGUGGUGGUUUAAGUCCGUUGUGAAAGCCCUGGGCUCAACCUGGGAAUUGCAGUGGAUACUGGGUCACUAGAGUGUGGUAGAGGAUAGUGGAAUUUCCGGUGUAGCAGUGAAAUGCGUAGAGAUCGGAAGGAACAUCUGUGGCGAAGGCGACUAUCUGGGCCAACUCUGACACUGAGGCACGAAAGCGUGGGGAGCAAACAGGAUUAGAUACCCCAGUAGUCCCUGUCUCUUAUAC
rnacentral:rRNA from 1 species